GCUCAGUAACACGUGGUCAAGCUAACCUAUGGACGUGGAUAACCUCGGGAAACUGAGAAUAAACCGCGAUAGAUCAUGAUGCCUGGAAUGGCUCAUGGUCGAAAUAGUUUACUGCCGUAGGAUGCGACUGCGGCCUAUCAGUUUGUUGGUGAGGUAAUGGCCCACCAAGACUAUUACAGGUACGGGCUCUGAGAGGAGAAGCCCGGAGAUGGGUACUGAGACACGGACCCAGGCCCUAUGGGGCGCAGCAGGCGAGAAACCUUAGCAAUGUGCGAAAGCACGACUGGGUUAGUCCGAGUGAUUCCUGCUAAAGGAAUCUUUUGCCGGUCCUAAAAGCACCGGUGAAUAAGGGGUGGGCAAGUCUGGUGUCAGCCGCCGCGGUAAUACCAGCACCUCGAGUGAUCAGGACGUUUAUUGGGCCUAAAGCAUCCGUAGCUGGCUUUGCAAGUCUCCGGUUAAAUCAACCUGCUCAACAGAUUGGCCGCUGGAGAUACUACAAAGCUAGGGAGUGGGAGAGGCAGACGGUAUUCAGUGGGUAGGGGUAAAAUCCUCUGAUCCAUUGAGGACCACCAGUGGCGAAGGCGGUCUGCCAGAACACGUUCGACGGUGAGG
rnacentral:rRNA from 1 species